CUGUCUCUUGUAGUUAACCAAUGAAACUGAUCUUGUAGUCCAAAAGCUACAAUAAAAACACCAGACGAGAAGACCCUGUGGAGCUUCAAACCAAAACCAAAUUAAUGGCCCCUUGGUUUUUAGUUGGGGCAACUUCGGAGUAUAUAUCAACCUCCGACAAAUCAGUUAAGACAAACAAGUCUAGACAAUUCACUCGACCCAAUAGUUUAUUACAAACUACUUGACCAAUGAACCAAGUUACCCCAGGGAUAACAGCGCUAUCCCCUUUUAGAGUCCCUAUCGACAAGGGGGCUUACGACCUCNAUGUUGGAUCAGGACACC
rnacentral:rRNA from 1 species